GACGAACGCUGGCGGCGUGCCUAAUACAUGCAAGUCGAACGCAGUGGGGACGGGUGAGUAACACGUGGGUAACCUCCCAUCAGAGGGGAUAACACUUGGAAACAGGUGCUAAACCGAUACUGAUGGAUGGACCCGCGGUGCAUUAGCUGGUUGGUGAGGAAACGGCUCACCAAGGCCACGAUGCAUAGCCGUCCUGUGAGGGUGAUCGGCCACACUGGAACUGAGACAGGGCCCAGACUCUGAGGGGGGGCAGAGGGGGGAAAUCUUCGGCAAGGGAGGAAAGUCGGACCAGGCAACGCCGCGUGAGUAAAGAGGGUUUUCGGAUCGUAAAACUCUGUUGUUAGGGAAGCGGAAUCGAACCAGAAGGCCACGGCUAACUACGUGCCAGCGGCGGGGGAAAUA
rnacentral:rRNA from 1 species